GAUGAACGCUGGCGGCGUGCCUAAUACAUGCAAGUCGAGCGAACAGACGAGGAGCUUGCUCCUCUGACGUUAGCGGCGGACGGGUGAGUAACACGUGGAUAACCUACCUAUAAGACUGGGAUAACUUCGGGAAACCGGAGCUAAUACCGGAUAAUAUAUUGAACCGCAUGGUUCAAUAGUGAAAGACGGUUUUGCUGUCACUUAUCGAUGGAUCCGCGCCGCAUUAGCUAGUUGGUAAGGUAACGGCUUACCAAGGCAACGAUGCGUAGCCGACCUGAGAGGGUGAUCGGCCACACUGGAACUGAGCCACGGUCCAGACUCCUACGGGAGGCAGCAGUAGGGAAUCUUCCGCAAUGGGCGAAAGCCUGACGGAGCAACGCCGCGUGAGUGAUGAAGGUCUUCGGAUCGUAAAACUCUGUUAUUAGGGAAGAACAAAUGUGUAAGUAACUAUGCACGUCUUGACGGUACCUAAUCAGAAAGCCACGGCUAACUACGUG
rnacentral:rRNA from 1 species